rnacentral:lncRNA from 1 species
UUUGGCAAAACCUUCCUGCUGGAACUGCUAAGGACUACAAGUAAAAGGAUCCAACCCGGAAUACCACAUUAUAUUCGGUCAUCUCGUAUCUCAAGUCUCCACUGCUCUGUUACAGUUUACCAAUCUUCCCGGAUUCUUCAAGAUUCUACAGCUUUCAGGCAUCCUGGCCAGUUUCCUUUUAGACUAUCCCUAAAGCUGGAUUUUUCGUAUGUUUUCCUCAUGAUUAGACUCCAUUUAGGGGGUUUGGAGAAGAAUAUCAAAUUUCCUUUUAUCAUUGUCAUGCCAGAGGUUUUCUGCAAUUAAUAUGAUUUGUCAUUGGUGAUGAUCACCCUAACCACUUGUUUAAAGUAUUUUUGUAGCUUUCUCCACUGUAAAGAUGCUAUUUUUCCUUUUAUACUCUGUUCUGUGAAAGGAGUCCACAUCAUACUGAAGAGGUUAAUCCAUAUUCCCUCUGUGAAGGCAUUUCAUCUUUUCCUGGGCAAAUAUGACUGCUUAGUUUUAAGAUUAUCAUUACCGGCCAAAACGGUGAGAAAAAUAAAACUUGGAAGGCUGGAACUCCUUGAUAGCUUUGAAAGUGUUUGCUUCCUGAAGAGUUGCAUUUCCAGAAACAUGCAGUGGGAAACUAUUGUGCUUUGGGUCCUGCCUUCAAGCAAGAUAACACUUCGCUACUCAAAGGAGCACAGGACUUGAUCAUAUAUUGGGUCAAAAUGAAGCAAACAUUUGAAUUGCAUCAAUUCCCAAAAUAUCUGGUUCUGUUCAGUGGACCUUAUAUUUAUGCAAAUACUGAGACUGAAAUAAACACAGCA